GAAUUGUGUAUCACUGUCGUUGGCUGCUAGGGAUGUUCUAUAGCAAAGAAAAUACCCAGGAGAUGCUGUUAUGAAUCAUAUGUUGACUACUUACAUUCUUGGCAAGUGGUUGGGAAUGUGAUACUUCACAGAAGCACACCAAGGGAGCAAUAUGUUUAAAGCAGCUAAGGUCAGCAGCAAACUUUUUUCACUGUGUCUUCUGUCAGCUGCUCCUACAUUGGCUGUCCAGAGUCUUGUGGCAACUUCUAUGAGAAUAUCCAAGGCUUAUAACAAGACUAAUUGAGGGAAUUCUGACAGUUUCAGA